rnacentral:snoRNA from 1 species
AACCCAUGGUGAGGGCACAUUCUCAACAGAUCCUUGUAUCUCUCCCAUGCAUCAUAAAGUGUUUCUAAAUCCAUCUGCACAAAAGAGGAGAUAUCAUUACGUAAUUU